GGUGGGCAUGGUGGGGAUGGGUUGGGGUCGGACUUGAUGAUCUUAGUGGUCUUUUCCAACCUUAAUGAUUGUAU
rnacentral:miRNA from 7 species